ensembl:lincRNA
GAGAGUUUUACUUUUUAUGUGCUAGUUAAAAAUUCCAGUCAAAGAAUGCGUUGAAUAUGUGUAAGUUCAUUGUUUAUUUCCCAGGUGACAGGCUAACAUGCCCAGGUUGCACUCUUUAGGAAGUAGGCCUGCUUAGCUGAAUGUAUGCUUUGUUUUAUUUCACAAUAGGCUAACACUGCUGGGAGAGACCUCUGAUGAAAUUGUGGCUGAAAAAGGGGCCGAAGUUAAGUUGGCAGAAGACGGUAGCUGUACAGAGGACUUAAAUUCAUGCGCCAGCUUGCCCGAGAUGCACGAAGACAGGUGUAGGAAAGACAAGGAGUGUGCCAGAAACCAUACAAGAGAGCUGCCUUCUGGAAAAACUGCCCUGGUUGACAAAGAGACAAAUACUGAUGAAGCAGUUAGUGACAGUGUGACAGUUCGCCCAAAAGAUCGCAGCAGUCUGAGCUCUCGACAGCAUCCAUUCGUGAGGAGCAGCGUGAUAGUGCGCUCCCAAACGUUUUCUCCAGGAGAGCGGAGCCAGUACAUCUGCAGGUUAAAUCGGAGUGACAGUGACAGUUCAACUUUGGCUAAAAAAUCACUGUUUGUGAGAAACUCCACUGAACGGCGCAGUUUGCGGGUCAAAAGGACGGUGUGCCAGCCAGUCCUCAGAAGGACAGCCCAAGAAUGCCCAGUGCGCACAUCUCUAGACUUAGAACUGGACCUUCAGGCCUCUUUAACCCACCAGAGCCGCCUCAAUGAUGAGCUGCAGGCCCUGAGGGGCUUGCGGCAAAAGCUGGAGGAGCUGAAAGCUCAGGGAGAGACUGACCUUCCCCCUGGUGUGCUAGAAGAUGAGAGAUUCCAGAAGCUUCUGAAACAAGCGGAGAAGCAGGCUGAACAGACAAAAGAAGAGCAGAAGCAAGACUUGAAUGCCGAGAAGUUGAUGAGGCAGGUCUCCAAGGACGUGUGCCGGCUCCGGGAGCAGAGCCGAAAGGUGCCUCAGCAGGUGCAGUCCUUCAGGUAAGUGGCCCAGUGUGGCACAGCUCUGCUGCAAUUCUGCAGGAAUUCCCCUCAGAGUACAGUGCAAGUUAAUACCAGAUGUAUUCCCCAUUGUGAAUAUACAGUUGUGUGUUUGCCUCUUUCUGAGGUUACGUGAUGGCUGAGUUACAGCCAUGACGACAACCUGGCUCCUCCAGAAGACAGCAUCCCCAGCUGUCAGUACCCUUUGCACCUCUCCUUAGCACGACCCAAGGUAUUUUGUAGAAGACCAGGAAAGCCAUAGACGUUUGGGGUUUUGCUGUUUACUCACUCUAGACUCCUGAAGCCUUACACUGCAGUAGGCCCUGCAGAACAGAGAGGCAAGGGAUACAGGCACACAACCAGAUCAUGUGACACCAUGUGGCAAAAGCUAAUACAGGGAUAAAUAGGGGCCUGUGAGAGCAGCAGGAGGGACCUCCAUCUAUGCACAGGUAGGCUGCAGACACUAGAAGGGACAUAGUAGAGAAGCGGCAUCUGAACCUAUUGUGGAGACCAUGGGCAUAGAGAGUUCUUCAGGCUGUAGGGCUGGUGAGUUUGAGUGGAGCCAAGUCAAUGCCAAGUCCACUGUGAGCCAGUGAAGCUGCCAGCAGGGUGGGCCUGUCAAGUAGAGUUGGCCUCAGAUGCUGUGCCGAAGGUUUGUGCUGUGGUUCUGGAUGGUGAAAGAGCUAGGGAGGUUUCCAAACACCAACGUCAGUGAUAGGGAUCAAGUUUGUGUGAGCAGGUAUUUGAGGCAUUGUGGAGAGAGGACCAGGGAGAAACUGGUGAGAGGAGACCGUGAAUUUACUGGGGGCCAGUGGAGGGAGGGGUGUUACUUCACAGGGCCAGGACGUGAGACUGAGAAUCCAGAAAAAAGAGGCUAUCAGGUCCUGCUUUUGCACUUAGCAGGUUACCUAUUGCAGUAGCACAGCACAGGUAAUUAUGGCUGAUACAUAAGUGAAAAUCAAAACCUCAAGCCAGGAUUAAGGUCUGGGAGUCUUCUGUAGCAAUAUGGUGGUUUCACCAGUACAGACGGGCCAGAAAAUGGGAAGAGGUGCUCAGGGAAGGAAGCCUGCUGGGCACUAUCAAUUUUGGGACUAACAGCCAAGAUGAUGUAAGAAGGCAGUAUUCUAGAGCAAGAUCAUGAGGUGGGUCCAGCAUGGGGCAAAACUGCGAUAAACUAGUAGAUUGCAAAUACAGCUGCC